ACUGGGACCGAACCUUUCUAUCUUCUUCUUUCUCUUUUUGUUCCCGCCUGCCGAGGACCUAUGUUUCAAUAACGAUGAAGGGCUACUAGAAGGGAAAGGGCUUCAGGAGAGAUGGUUAGAUUGGAUGGGCGUAGUUGAUCGAUCGAACUACGAUGAUUGGAAUGAAGACAGACAGACUUCCGUGCGAAAGACAGAACGGCAAAACUUUAUUAUUAUAUUAUUGCAUUUUUCCUAAACUUCGUCAAGCCUAUCCGCUCAUUUGUUCCAAACCAGAGUUUCUAGUUUCAAGAUCGCGCUUUUAGUACGCGUGUGGUGAGAUGUUCCAAGCCCGGUAUCUACUGAUUUUGCCAUUCCUAUGAUUCAAAGGAUUCACCAGCUAUAGGGCAGUUAGCGCAGACAUCAAGUAAGGGCUCGUAGGCUACUCAUGCCAAAUAUCCGAUUUUUUUCAGGGGGAAGAGAAGGGCUCUAGGUCAAGCCUCUUAUUCUAUUUAUUCUAUUGGGUCUACCCGUCGGGCAGGUAAGCGAGACAGAAGUCUCA
rnacentral:lncRNA from 1 species